rnacentral:rRNA from 1 species
GAGUUUGAUCCUGGCUCAGGAUGAACGCUAGCGGCAGGCUUAACACAUGCAAGUCGAGGGGUAUAGUUCUUCGGAGCUAGAGACCGGCGCACGGGUGCGUAACGCGUAUGCAAUCUACCUUUUACAGAGGGAUAGCCCAGAGAAAUUUGGAUUAAUACCUCAUAGCAUUGCACAAUGGCAUCAUUGAGCAAUUAAAGUCACAACGGUAAAAGAUGAGCAUGCGUCCCAUUAGCUAGUUGGUAAGGUAACGGCUUACCAAGGCUACGAUGGGUAGGGGUCCUGAGAGGGAGAUCCCCCACACUGGUACUGAGACACGGACCAGACUCCUACGGGAGGCAGCAGUGAGGAAUAUUGGACAAUGGGCGCAAGCCUGAUCCAGCCAUGCCGCGUGCAGGACGGACGGUCCUAUGGAUUGUAAACUGCUUUUGCACAGGAAGAAACAACUCUACGUGUAGAGUCUUGACGGUACUGUGAGAAUAAGGAUCGGCUAACUCCGUGCCAGCAGCCGCGGUAAUACGGAGGAUCCAAGCGUUAUCCGGAAUCAUUGGGUUUAAAGGGUCCGUAGGCGGUCUUAUAAGUCAGUGGUGAAAUCUCCCCGCUCAACGGGGAAACGGCCAUUGAUACUGUAGGACUUGAAUUAUUAGGAAGUAACUAGAAUAUGUAGUGUAGCGGUGAAAUGCUUAGAGAUUACAUGGAAUACCAAUUGCGAAGGCAGGUUACUACUAAUGGAUUGACGCUGAUGGACGAAAGCGUGGGUAGCGAACAGGAUUAGAUACCCUGGUAGUCCACGCCGUAAACGAUGGAUACUAGCUGUUGGGAGCAAUUUCAGUGGCUAAAGCGAAAGUGAUAAGUAUCCCACCUGGGGAGUACGUUCGCAAGAUGAAACUCAAAGGAAUUGACGGGGGCCGCACAAGCGGUGGAGCAUGUGGUUUAAUUCGAUGAUACGCGAGGAACCUUACCAAGGCUUAAAUGUAGAUUGACCGGUUUGGAAACAGACUUUUCGCAAGACAAUUUACAAGGUGCUGCAUGGUUGUCGUCAGCUCGUGCCGUGAGGUGUCAGGUUAAGUCCUAUAACGAGCGCAACCCCUGUUGUUAGUUGCCAGCGAGUCAUGUCGGGAACUCUAACGAGACUGCCAGUGCAAACUGAGAGGAAGGUGGGGAUGACGUCAAAUCAUCACGGCCCUUACGCCUUGGGCUACACCCGUGCUACAAUGGCCGGUACAGAUCGCAAACACUGGGUGACCAGGAGCGAAUCUACAAAACCGGUCACAGUUCGGAUCGGAGUCUGCAACUCGACUCCGUGAAGCUGGAAUCGCUCGUAAUCGGAUAUCAGCCAUGAUCCGGUGAAUACGUU